AACGAACGCUGGCGGCAGGCUUAACACAUGCAAGUCGAGCGCCCCGCAAGGGGAGCGGCAGACGGGUGAGUAACACGUGGGAACAUACCCAUCUCUGCGGAACAACUCCGGGAAACUGGAGCUAAUACCGCAUACGCCCUUCGGGGAAAAGAUUUAUCGGAGAUGGAUUGGCCCGCGUUGGAUUAGCUAGUUGGUGGGGUAAAGGCCUACCAAGGCGACGAUCCAUAGCUGGUCUGAGAGGAUGAUCAGCCACAUUGGGACUGAGACACGGCCCAAACUCCUACGGGAGGCAGCAGUGGGGAAUAUUGGACAAUGGGCGCAAGCCUGGUCCAGCCAUGCCGCGUGAGUGAUGAAGGCCUUAGGGUUGUAAAGCUCUUUCACCGAUGAAGAUAAUGACGGUAGUCGGAGAAGAAGCCCCGGCUAACUUCGUGCCAGCAGCCGCCGUAA
rnacentral:rRNA from 1 species